GAUACUAGACCUCUCCUACUCUGAAGACCUGAUCGGGAUUCCAGACUUAUAUAAUAAUGCCCCAAAUCUUGAGGUUUUAAAGUUGAGUGAUUGUCGUAGUCUGACUGAGAUCCCCUCAUCUCUUCAAAAUCUGAGGAAGCUUACUAAACUACGGUUAGACGGGUGCUGUGAAGUCACAUGUUGUCCGGAGAUUCCUUGUAGUAUAAGGUUUCUAACUUUAGACG
rnacentral:misc_RNA from 1 species